CAGUCGCCACGGUAAUACGAAGGGGGCUAGCGUUGUUCGGAUUAACUGGGCGUAAAGGGUGCGUAGGCGGGGUUUUAAGUCAGGGGUGAAAUGCCGAGGCUCAACUUCGGAACUGCCUUUGAUACUGGAACUCUUGAGUCCGGGAGAGGUGAGUGGAACUGCGAGUGUAGAGGUGAAAUUCGUAGAUAUUCGCAAGAACACCAGUGGCGAAGGCGGCUCGCUGGCCCGGUACUGACGCUGAGGCACGAAAGCGUGGGGAGCAAACAGGAUUAGAUACCCCAGUAGUCCCUGUCUCUUAUAC
rnacentral:rRNA from 1 species